AUACGGAGGGUGCAAGCGUUACUCGGAAUCACUGGGCGUAAAGCGCGCGCAGGCGGCUAUUUAAGUUGGAUGUGAAAGCCUACGGCUCAACCGUAGAACUGCAUCCAAAACUAUUUAGCUAGAGUGUGGGAGAGGAAGACGGAAUUAGUUGUGUAGGGGUAAAAUCCGUAGAGAUAACUAGGAAUACCAAAAGCGAAGGCAAUCUUCUGGAACACUACUGACGCUGAGGCGCGAAAGCGUGGGGAGCAAACGGGAUUAGAUACCCUAGUAGUCC
rnacentral:rRNA from 1 species